ensembl:lincRNA
UGGGAAUGAGGCUCCUGCGUCUUACAUGGCACCCACUCAUGCCUGCUGUGCAAGUCAAUUUCUAUGUCUGCCCCCAGGCAAUGUCCAGCCACCUACUGAUCGUAUGUGAUGGGGGGUGAGGAGGAGAUACUUUGCAUGGCCCCCAGUGACAAAGAAGAGGCCCUUAGCUAUAGCUACUCUUGCACUGAGCCUGGCCAGGUCCCUGCUUGUCCUGAGACGAUGAGAGGAGGCAUGAUGUGGCCAUGGAGUGCUGGAGCAGCCGGGAGCGUCACCUUCACCUGGCCCCUCACUAGCUGUCUGCUGUCUUCUUACAAUGCUGGCGUGUCUCCAGGGCUGUGCUGA